AAAACAUCGCCCCUCGCCUUAAUUAUUCUUCACUAUGGAAAUUGCGCCAGCAGCGUGUUAAUGACUACAGCCAGGGAGAUAAGUUGGAGUUACUACCUUCUCAGCGGACCUCGAUGGCUGAGUGUUUGGGCUUGGCUCUGGAGUGGUGACUUAACAUCUAGAAGUCCGCCAACAACUGGAAGCGAGCCGGACCUGGCGACAGGCACCCCCCCUGGUAUAAAUGACGACAUCUCCAUCUGCAUAACCAUUGGACCUGACGAAACGCCCUUCGAAACGCGUUGUCCC